rnacentral:rRNA from 1 species
GCCUCAAAUCAGACAAGAGUACCCGCUGAACUUAAGCAUAUCAAUAAGCGGAGGAA